rnacentral:rRNA from 1 species
GAAACAGUGGCUAAGACUGGAUAGGAAGAUAAAAGGCAUCUUGUAUCUUUUAAAAGACCUAGUUAAUGGGUAUGCUUUAGGAGGGGCUUGCGCCAUAUUAGUUAGUUGGUAGGGUAAUGGCCUACCAAGACGAUGAUGUGUAGCUGGACUGAGAGGUUGAACAGCCACAUUGGGACUGAGACACGGCCCAAACUCCUACGGGAGGCAGCAGUAGGGAAUUUUCGGCAAUGGAGGAAACUCUGACCGAGCAACGCCGCGUGAAUGACGAAGUACUUCGGUAUGUAAAGUUCUUUUAUCGAGGAAGAAAAGUAAAUGGCGAACCAUUUGUUUGCCGGUACUUGAUGAAUAAGCCCCGGCUAAUUAUGUGCCAGCAGCCGCGGUAAGACAUAAGGGGCAAGUGUUAUCCGGAAUUAUUGGGCGUAAAGGGUGCGUAGGCGGUCUAGUAAGUCAGUGGUGUAAUGGCAACGCUUAACGUUGUCCGGCUAUUGAAACUGCUAAACUUGAGUUAGAUAGAGGCGAGUGGAAUUCCAUGUGUAGCGGUAAAAUGCGUAAAUAUAUGGAGGAACACCAGAGGCGUGGGCGGCUCGCUGGGUCUUAACUGACGCUGAGGCACGAAAGCGUGGGGAGCAAACAGGAUUAGAUACCCUGGUAGUCCACGCCGUAAACGAUGAGUACUAAGUGUCGGGUUAAACCGGUACUGAAGUUAACACAUUAAGUACUCCGCCUGAGUAGUACGUACGCAAGUAUGAAACUUAAAGGAAUUGACGGGACUCCGCACAAGCGGUGGAUCAUGUUGUUUAAUUCGAAGAUACCCGAAAAACCUUACCAGGUCUUGACAUGUUUUUGCAAAAUGAUAGUAAUAUCGUGGAGGUUACCAGAAACACAGGUGGUGCAUGGUUGUCGUCAGCUCGUGUCGUGAGAUGUUAGGUUAAGUCCUAAAACGAGCGAAACCCUUAUCGUUAGUUGCCAGCACGUUAUGGUGGGGACUUUAACGAGACUGCCAAUGAUAAAUUGGAGGAAGGUGAGGAUCACGUCAAAUCAGCAUGCCCCUUAUGACCUGGGCUACAAACGUGAUACAAUGGCUGUUACAAAGGGUAGCUGAAACGCAAGUUCUUGGCCAAUCCCCAAAAACAGUCCCAGUCCGGAUUGAAGUCUGCAACUCGACUUCAUGAAGUUGGAAUCGCCAGUAAUCGCGAAUCAGCAUGUCGCGGUGAAUACGUUCUCGGGGUUUGUACACACCGCCCGUCA